UACGUAGGUCCCGAGCGUUGUCCGGAUUUAUUGGGCGUAAAGCGAGCGCAGGUGGUUUAUUAAGUCUGGUGUAAAAGGCAGUGGCUCAACCAUUGUAUGCAUUGGAAACUGGUAGACUUGAGUGCAGGAGAGGAGAGUGGAAUUCCAUGUGUAGCGGUGAAAUGCGUAGAUAUAUGGAGGAACACCGGUGGCGAAAGCGGCAUACCGGCGCCCGACUGACGCUGAGGCACGAAAGUGCGGGUAUCGAACAGG
rnacentral:rRNA from 1 species